rnacentral:rRNA from 1 species
AUGAAGCUAGUCCAACUCCCAAAGACCCUGAGAAUCACGGCGGCGAGGGCCAGCCCCAACCAGAGUGUGCGUGUGACGGUCCUGGACAGAACAAGAGUCAACGUCAAGGAUGACGCGACAACCAGAAUCGGUAAGUUGACCAGCAGAAAACAGAUUCAUGGUAAGUCGAGGGACAUGAGCAACAUCAGGAACAGAAUAAGAAGGAGUGGUAAGAUUGCCCCUACUAGCAACAGAAAGUGGAGUACCAUCAGCAGUGAAGACAUGAACAGGAGAAUCCAGCAAUCGAAGAGAGGACAAAGUGGAAGAAUGAGAAGACAUAUGAAAAGAAGCUCCAGAGUCCAGAACCCAUGGGGAUGUACCUGA